rnacentral:rRNA from 1 species
GACGAACGCUGGCGGCGUGCUUAACACAUGCAAGUCGAACGGAAAGGCCCUGCUUUUGUGGGGUGCUCGAGUGGCGAACGGGUGAGUAACACGUGAGUAACCUGCCCUUGACUUUGGGAUAACUUCAGGAAACUGGGGCUAAUACCGGAUAGGAGCUCCUGCUGCAUGGUGGGGGUUGGAAAGUUUCGGCGGUUGGGGAUGGACUCGCGGCUUAUCAGCUUGUUGGUGGGGUAGUGGCUUACCAAGGCUUUGACGGGUAGCCGGCCUGAGAGGGUGACCGGCCACUUUGGGACGGAGAUACGGCCCAGACCCCUACGGGGGGAAGCAGGGGGGAAUUUUGCACAAUGGGCGGAAGCCGGAUGCAGCAACCCCGCGGGCGGGAGGAGGGCCUUGGGGUGGAAAACCGCUUUCCCCUGGGACGAAGGGUGGGGGAGGGUAAUGGGAAAAGAAGCACCGGCUAACUACGU